rnacentral:rRNA from 1 species
AGAGUUUGAUCAUGGCUCAGGAUGAACGCUGGCGGCGUGCCUAAUACAUGCAAGUCGAACGAGGUGCUUUUGUAGCAAUACGAGAGUAUCCUAGUGGCGAACGGGUGAGUAACGCGUUGGUGACCUACCCCAAAGUGUGGGAUAACAGUCCGAAAGGAUUGCUAAUACCGCAUGUGGUCAUUGGAUUUAGAAACCGAUGACUAAAGGAGCAAUUCGCUUUGGGAGGGACCUGCGUCCCAUCAGCUAGUUGGUGAGGUAAUGGCUCACCAAGGCGACGACGGGUAGGGGACCUGAGAGGGUGGCCCCCCACAAUGGAACUGAAACACGGUCCAUACACCUACGGGUGGCAGCAGUAGGGAAUAUUGCUCAAUGGGCGAAAGCCUGAAGCAGCAACGCCGCGUGUGUGAUGAAGGCCUUCGGGUCGUAAAGCACUUUUCUGGGAGAUGAGAAAGGACAGUAUCCCAGGAAUAAGUCUCGGCUAACUACGUGCCAGCAGCCGCGGUAAAACGUAGGAGGCGAGCGUUAUCCGGAUUCACUGGGCGUAAAGCGCGUGCAGGUGGCGCGGUAAGUUGGGUGUGAAAUCUCCCGGCUCAACUGGGAGAGGUCAUUCAAUACUACCGUGCUUGAGAGCAGAAGAGGAAGAUGGAAUUCCCGGUGUAGUGGUGAAAUGCGUAGAUAUCGGGAGGAACACCAGUGGCGAAGGCGAUCUUCUGGUCUGUUUCUGACACUCAGACGCGACAGCUAGGGUAGUAAACGGGAUUAGAGACCCCGGUAAUCCUAGCCGUAAACGAUGUGAACUUGGCGUUGGUGGGUUAAACUCCAUCAGUGCCGUAGCAAACGCGAUAAGUUCACCGCCUGGGGACUACGGCCGCAAGGUUAAAACUCAAAGGAAUUGACGG